rnacentral:rRNA from 1 species
UUUCGAAUCGUUCACAAUGGGGGCAACCCUGAUGGCGCGACGCCGCGUGGGGGAUGAAGGUCUUCGGAUUGUAAACUCCUGUCAUUGGGGACUAAUGGCCAGGCUCAUACCCUGGUUUGAAUUAACCCAAAGAGGAAGCAGUGGCUAACUCUGUGCCAGCAGCCGCGGUAAUACAGAGACUGCAAGCGUUACUCGGAUUCACUGGGCGUAAAGGGAGCGCAGGCGGACUCAUGUGUCGGACGUGAAAUACCGGGGCUUAACCCCGGUGCUGCGUCCGAAACUAUGAGUCUAGAGACUUGGAGGGGUAAGCGGAAUUCUUGGUGGAGCAGUGAAAUGCGUAGAUAUCAAGAGGAACACCAACGGCGAAGGCAGCUUACUGGAACGGUACUGACGCUGAGACGCGAAAGCGUGGGGAGCAAACAGG